GGAUGCCGAUCAUACCAGCACUAAAGCACCGGAUCCCAUCAGAACUCCGAAGUUAAGCGUGCUUGGGCGAGAGUAGUACUAGGAUGGGUGACCUCCUGGGAAGUCCUCGUGUUGCAUUCCC
rnacentral:rRNA from 3 species